AGUUUCUUCUAAAUUUCAUCGUCUCAUACUGCCGUGCUGAAAUUUAGAUUUUUUUAAUUUACUCAAAGAAGUAAGCUUGAAGCGUAGCCGUACAUAUACUAUAAGUUUAGAUAGAUAUAAAAUAUGAAUCGUAGGUAAAUUUUCGUCUACAGUCGAGCCCCUCGCCACGAUGAUUAAAGUAUAAAUGUAAUCAUUCGAUCGCAUGAUAACAAGUAGUAAGCCUAGAUAAGGGAAAGUCGCUUUCACGAAUUACGAAUAACUCAUGAGUACUGUCUAUACGAUAUUUCUGAUAUAAAUUUUCCUUUAUUUUUUGCUCUGAACUGCAUUUGUCGCGCUUUUAGAGAAGAGUUUGCUGUCGUAUAAAAUGACGCGGUAAGCUGCGACGUUACGCGUCAUAACGCGACAAAUACUUGCUUUGACAUAAAAAGACGCGACAAUAGCCUGUGGAUUUUGACAUUAUGAUAAGGAGAAAUAAAAGAAUUUGAUAGUAGAAAUACGACAAAAAAUGAC